rnacentral:rRNA from 1 species
GACGAACGCUGGCGGCGUGCCUAAUACAUGCAAGUCGAACGCUUCUUUCCUCCCGAGUGCUUGCACUCAAUUGGAAAGAGGAGUGGCGGACGGGUGAGUAACACGUGGGUAACCUACCCAUCAGAGGGGGAUAACACUUGGAAACAGGUGCUAAUACCGCAUAACAGUUUAUGCCGCAUGGCAUAAGAGUGAAAGGCGCUUUCGGGUGUCGCUGAUGGAUGGACCCGCGGUGCAUUAGCUAGUUGGUGAGGUAACGGCUCACCAAGGCCACGAUGCAUAGCCGACCUGAGAGGGUGAUCGGCCACACUGGGACUGAGACACGGCCCAGACUCCUACGGGAGGCAGCAGUAGGGAAUCUUCGGCAGUGGACGAAAGUCUGACCGAGCAACGCCGCGUGAGUGAAGAAGGUUUUCGGAUCGUAAAACUCUGUUGUUAGAGAAGAACAAGGACGUUAGUAACUGAACGUCCCCUGACGGUAUCUAACCAGAAAGCCACGGCUAACUACGU